UACAGAGGGUGCGAGCGUUGUCCGGAAUCACUGGGCGUAAAGGGCGCGUAGGUGGUGCCUUAAGCGUGCGGUGAAAGCUCGGGGCUCAACUCCGAGUCGGCCGUGCGAACUGGGCUCACUGGAGCAUAGUAGAGGCAGGUGGAAUUCCGGGUGUAGCGGUGGAAUGCGUAGAGAUCCGGAAGAACACCGGUGGCGAAGGCGGCCUGCUGGGCUAUGGCUGACACUGAGGCGCGACAGCGUGGGGAGCAAACAGG
rnacentral:rRNA from 1 species